rnacentral:rRNA from 1 species
GAUGAACGCUGGCGGCGUGCCUAAUACAUGCAAGUCGAGCGAACGGACGAGAAGCUUGCUUCUCUGAUGUUAGCGGCGGACGGGUGAGUAACACGUGGAUAACCUACCUAUAAGACUGGGAUAACUUCGGGAAACCGGAGCUAAUACCGGAUAAUAUUUUGAACCGCAUGGUUCAAAAGUGAAAGACGGUCUUGCUGUCACUUAUAGAUGGAUCCGCGCUGCAUUAGCUAGUUGGUAAGGUAACGGCUUACCAAGGCAACGAUGCAUAGCCGACCUGAGAGGGUGAUCGGCCACACUGGAACUGAGACACGGUCCAGACUCCUACGGGAGGCAGCAGUAGGGAAUCUUCCGCAAAGGGCGAAAGCCUGAUGGAGCAACGCCGCGUGAGUGAUGAAGGUCUUCGGAUCGUAAAACUCUGUUAUUAGGGAAGAACAUAUGUGUAAGUAACUGUGCACAUCUUGACGGUACCUAAUCAGAAAGCCACGGCUAACUACGUG